AAAAAAAUCUACCAUAUACAUUAUACAUACAAAAAAUAUAAAAAUUUUACUAAUAACCUAAUUUAAGCUUUCAAAAACUGCUAAAAUGUCGUAACAGUAUUUGGCAACCAAGUUCAUAAUUGUCUUAUCUUGAAUAGCCAUAAUAUAUCUAAAAACUAUCUUGUUGAGUGAACAAACAGAAAGAACGAUUUAUUUUACAUAAAUUAUUUAUAAAAAUAUUUCUAAGACUAAUAAAUUUAGAAUUUCUGCAUGACAUUAGAAAGUGGUAUUCAUUUCCAAUCUCAUUUAUGUCACAAUGUUUACAUAGCCUAUCAUUGUAUGGAACAUUGUUAUAUCGACCAGUUUCAACAGGUAAUCUAUGUGCUGAGAUCCUUAGUUUUGUAACAGCUUGACGGUAUUUGAAAUUCUGGACUAAGUAAAGAUACCUUUCACAACCGAAAU